rnacentral:rRNA from 1 species
AGAGUUUGAUCAUGGCUCAGGAUGAACGCUGGCGGCGUGCCUAAUACAUGCAAGUCGAACGAGAUGCUUUUGUAGCAAUACGAGAGUAUUCUAGUGGCGAACGGGUGAGUAACGCGUUGGUGACCUACCCCAAAGUGUGGGAUAACAGUCCGAAAGGAUUGCUAAUACCGCAUGUGGUCUUCGGAUUUAGAAACUGAUGACUAAAGGAGCAAUUCGCUUUGGGAGGGACCUGCGUCCCAUCAGCUAGUUGGUGAGGUAAUGGCUCACCAAGGCGACGACGGGUAGGGGACCUGAGAGGGUGGCCCCCCACAAUGGAACUGAAACACGGUCCAUACACCUACGGGUGGCAGCAGUAGGGAAUAUUGCUCAAUGGGCGAAAGCCUGAAGCAGCAACGCCGCGUGUGCGAUGAAGGCCUUCGGGUCGUAAAGCACUUUUCUGAGAGAUGAGAAAGGACAGUAUCUCAGGAAUAAGUCUCGGCUAACUACGUGCCAGCCGCCGCGGUAAUAC